rnacentral:rRNA from 1 species
GUGCCAGCAGCCGCGGUAAUACGGAGGGUGCAAGCGUUAUCCGGAAUCACUGGGUUUAAAGGGUGCGUAGGCGGUUUGAUAAGUCAGUUGUGAAAUUCCCUCGCUUAACGAGUGGGACUGCGAUUGAUACUGUUGAACUUGAAUCAGGUUGAGGUAGGCGGAAUGUGGCAUGUAGCGGUGAAAUGCAUAGAUAUGCCAUAGAACACCGAUUGCGAAGGCAGCUUGCUGGGCUUAGAUUGACGCUGAGGCACGAAAGCGUGGGGAGCAAACAGGAUUAGAAACCCCAGUAGUCC